rnacentral:rRNA from 1 species
AUGGUCGGCUUGUUUAAAAAAAAGACUCGCAUACAAGCUGAUCUGGUUUCGCUCGCGCUGCCUCCAGGGGGACGGCUCGGGCGAACCCUAGCCGCCGCCGCCCCCGACCCCCCAUCCACCUGCUUCCCCCGCCGCCGCCGGAGGAAGCCGGCGAGCGAAGCUUGUCCGGCGGACGGCGGUGGCGGGCUCGCCUCCUUUUCUCCUCGAGGGGGCCUCUGGCUGGCGCGCAGCGGUGCCCCUGGGCGCCAUGCGGGGCGGCGGAGUUCGGAUGCUGGGGCGGCGGCCCCAGGGGUUCUUGGCGGGGCUGUGCAACCACGGCUGCGUGGGCAACGUGGGUGGCCGGCCGUGGCUUCCGGUGGCGGCGGAUCUGGAGUUCCCCUGUCCAGAUCUGUUUGUUGCGGGGGUGUUGGACCGGGCGCCGGCCGGCGGCCUCCAAUGGCGUGGUUGGGGACGGCUUGGUGCCGGCGGCGUCCAGGGUCAGCUCUGUCCGGCAGCCGGCGGGGCUGGUCGUGGCGGCGCAUCGCGGGGGCCAAGGAUCCACCUCGGGCCUGGUCCUUCGCCUGGGGCGCGGCGGCGGAGCGCGGCGACCGGCGCGUCGGAUCUGAGGCGGCGGCCUCGCUGGUGCGGACGGCGCUCCUCUGGCGGCAGGGAGUGCUCGUCGGUGAGGUAGGCCGGAUCCCCUCGACUGCGUGGGCAGCGAGGUCCCGGUGGGCGCUGGUCAUGGCGCGGGGAGGUUCCGGGCUCCCCUCGUCGGAUCGGAGGCGAUCUGGUCCGCUCGUGAUGCAUGACCUCUGGCCGGCCUGGAUCUCCGGCGUGCACGCGCCUGCUGAUGUUGUGGCUGGUUCGGAGGUGGCGGCAGGGUGCUUGGCCGGGGGAAACCCUUGGCCGCCGGUGGCGGUCACGGCGUUGAUGGCGUCCCGGACGCCAUUCCCUCCUUAG